rnacentral:misc_RNA from 1 species
UAGAUAUUGAAUAAUAAUUUUCCCUUGAAAACAAAUAGAGUUCAUGAAAAUGCUAUCGUCCAGAUAAUAAUAGAAUCCCGCCCACGAAAGCAGCAAAACAUGUAAGCUAUCACCAAAAUAAACCAUCCUAUAAAGUGGGAUGAUUCCAUUUGCCGUGUAGAACUGAUGAUGAAGUCGUGGUUUCAUCAGUAACACAAGACAUGCAAAAUCCAGCACAGAAUCACGCAUUUGUAGACAUAGGAGUUAGCAUAGCAAGCUUUCCCCGUAAGAAGAUAUAUCAUCAGUAUGGAAGGGGGCUUCAUUCUCUCGCG